UACAGGGGGGUGCAAACGUUGCUCGGAAUCAUUGGGCGUAAAGCGCACGUAGGCGGUUCGUUAUGUCGGAUGUGAAAGCCCCUUGGCUUAACCGAGGAAGUGCAUCCGAAACUGGCGAGCUAGAGUACUAAAGAGGAUCGCGGAAUUCCCGGUGUAGAGGUGAAAUUCGUAGAUAUCGGGAGGAACACCGGUGGCGAAGGCGGCGAUCUGGGUAGAUACUGACGCUGAGGUGCGAAAGCGUGGGGGAGCAAACAGG
rnacentral:rRNA from 1 species